UACGUAGGGAGCAAGCGUUGUCCGGAAUCAUUGGGCGUAAAGCGCGCGUAGGUGGCUUCGUAAGUCCGUUGUGAAAGUCAAAGGCUCAACCUUUGAAAGCCGAUGGAUACUGUGGAGCUAGAGUACGGAAGAGGCGAGUGGAAUUCCUGGUGUAGCGGGUGGAAUGCGCAGAUAUCAGGAGGAACACCCGGUGGCGAAGGCGGCUCUCUGGAACGCAACCUGACGCUGAGACGCGAAAGCGUGGGGAGC
rnacentral:rRNA from 1 species